CACGUAGGAGGCAAACGUUAUCCGGAUUUACUGGGCGUAAAGCGCGUGUAGGUGGUUCUGUAAGUAGGGCGUGAAAGCUCCCGGCUCAACUGGGAGAGGCCGUUCUAAACUGCAGAGCUAGAGGAUGGUAGAGGGAGGUGGAAUUCCAGGUGUAGCGGUGGAAUGCGCAGAUAUCUGGAGGAACACCAGUGGCGAAAGCGGCCUCCUGGACCAUUCCUGACACUCAGACGCGAAAGCUAGGGUAGCAAACGGGAUUAGAUAUCCGGGUAGU
rnacentral:rRNA from 1 species